AAGGGUCGCGAGGACUCAGAUCCUGAAAGGACAAGAAUUGGGACAAGGGUUCUGGGCUUAGGCAAGGAGACGGGGGCCUUGGCAUGGCAGGAAGACCCUCUAGGGUCCACCAGAAGGCCCUAGUCUGAGAAUGCGCUGGCUGGGGGCUGAGCAAAACUCUGCCCCAGAAUGUCUCCCCUGAGUGGCCAGAAAUUCCCGAAAGAUCUCUUGGGAGUGUUUGAUGAGUCACAUAUGUCAGCAAAGCUGAGAGGCAGCACGCGGUUAGACACCUGAGCUCUGCGGGGGACUGCCUGGGCAUGACCUUCAUUCUGCCGCUUUCUAAUUGGACCAUCUUAAAUACGGGGCUCCAGCACUCCAUGCCUGAUUUCUUCAUCUGAAAGGGUCCAGGAGCACCAUUCACAUUGAGUGUGACAGGCGCGUCAUCCCUGGAGGUGGGUAGCGCUGUGGCCCUCUUGCUGAGAACUGAAGCAUUGUUGAGAUCUGCUAGGAACUGUGAGAAGCAAGAAGCUUCCUGGCGCCAGAAUCCACCAUCCACCACGGAAGCAGACAACCAAGGACAUCCACCUGUAGCGAGGAGGAUCUGGCCAUCCUCCUCGCUACAAGCAGCCUCACAAGGCCAAACACAGGCUGGUGGGAAAGCACCCAGCAGCAAGGCUGCAGGCUCCCCUUCACUACAAGCAGCUGCAUUCCUUGCUACCUUUCAAACCCCUUGCCUCCCAUCUUUUGGGGAGAUGAGACAAACAUGUCUUCUGGUUGA